UGAGGAAUAUUGGUCAAUGGGCGAGAGCCUGAACCAGCCAAGUAGCGUGCAGGAUGACGGCCCUAUGGGUUGUAAACUGCUUUUAUGUGGGAAUAAAGUGAGGGACGUGUCCCUUAUUGCAUGUACCAUACGAAUAAGGACCGGCUAAUUCCGUGCCAGCAGCCGCGGUAAUACGGAAGGUCCAGGCGUUAUCCGGAUUUAUUGGGUUUAAAGGGAGCGUAGGCUGUUUGUUAAGCGUGUUGUGAAAUGUAAGAGCUCAACUUUUAGAUUGCAGCGCGAACUGGCAGACUUGAGUGCGCACAACGUAGGCGGAAUUCAUGGUGUAGCGGUGAAAUGCUUAGAUAUCAUGACGAACUCCGAUUGCGAAGGCAGCUUACGGGAGCGCAACUGACGCUAAAGCUCGAAGGUGCGGGUAUCGAACAGG
rnacentral:rRNA from 1 species